rnacentral:lncRNA from 1 species
CUGAGCAGCUCAGUCUGCUAGAACAACUGUUUGGUCCUAUCAGAGUGCCAUCUCUGCCAGACAUUCUCUGAAUGUACACAGCAGUGCCACGAGAGCUGCUCUUACCUCUCACUGCUGAGAUGAGAGCCACGGUUAGAAUUGGUUUCUAGCACAAAGGCUUAGAUACAUUUAUUUUUUUUCUUUUUUUUUGUUCUUUAAGGCAGUAUUUUAGGGCUCAGAAACUAAUACAGUCACUGGUCUUGACCUUCAGCUGCAGCUGAAGAUCUUGCUGGGGAGCUUGGGACAAGAGAAUGUGCAAAGAGUUCAAGAAAAGUUGCAUGCUGCUCUGCUGGUGAGUGGGAAAAUAAUUGCUUUUAGCUGGUUCCUCAGUCGCCAGGUGAUGUCUCCUCAGCCACAAAACAGUCCUCUGGUGAGCAGGGUCUCCCUUCCAGUGGUGCAAAGUCUCUGA